rnacentral:rRNA from 1 species
ACGUAGGGGACGAGCGUUGUCCGGAUUUACUGGGCGUAAAGGGCGCGUAGGCGGCUAUUUAAGUCAGCUGUGAAAUGGUUUGGCUUAACCGGAACAUGUGGGUGAAACUGGAUGACUGGAGUGCUGGAGAGGCAAGUGGAAUUCCCAGUGUAGCAGUGAAAUGCGGAGAUCUUGGGAAGAACACCGGUGGCGAAGGCGACUUGCUGGCCAGCAACCGACACUGAGGCGCGAAAGCCAGUGGAGCAAACGG